rnacentral:rRNA from 1 species
CAUUCCUACGGGGCGCAGCAGUAGGGAAUCUUCCACAAUGGACGAAAGUCUGAUGGAGCAACGCCGCGUGAGUGAAGAAGGGUUUCGGCUCGUAAAGCUCUGUUGGUAGUGAAGAAAGAUAGAGGUAGUAACUGGCCUUUAUUUGACGGUAAUUACUUAGAAAGUCACGGCUAACUACGUGCCAGCAGCCGCGGUAAUACGUAGGGAGCAAGCGUUAUCCGGAAUUAUUGGGUGUAAAGGGUGCGUAGACGGGAUAACAAGUUAGUUGUGAAACCCCUCGGCUCAACUGAGGAACUGCAACUAAA